GGCUCGCAGGCGGUUUCUUAAGUCUGAUGUGAAAGCCCCCGGCUCAACCGGGGAGGGUCAUUGGAAACUGGGGAACUUGAGUGCAGAAGAGGAGAGUGGAAUUCCACGUGUAGCGGUGAAAUGCGUAGAGAUGUGGAGGAACACCAGUGGCGAAGGCGACUCUCUGGUCUGUAACUGACGCUGAGGAGCGAAAGCGUGGGGAGCGAACAGGAUUAGAUACCCUGGUAGUCCACGCCGUAAACGAUGAGUGCUAAGUGUUAGGGGGUUUCCGCCCCUUAGUGCUGCAGCUAACGCAUUAAGCACUCCGCCUGGGGAGUACGGUCGCAAGACUGAAACUCAAAGGAAUUGACGGGGGCCCGCACAAGCGGUGGAGCAUGUGGUUUAAUUCGAAGCAACGCGAAGAACCUUACCAGGUCUUGACAUCCUCUGACAAUCCUAGAGAUAGGACGUCCCCUUCGGGGGCAGAGUGACAGGUGGUGCAUGGUUGUCGUCAGCUCGUGUCGUGAGAUGUUGGGUUAAGUCCCGCAACGAGCGCAACCCUUGAUCUUAUUUGCCAGCAUUCUAUUGGGCUCUCUAAGGUGACUGCCGGUGACAAACCGGAGGAAGGCGGGGAUGAC
rnacentral:rRNA from 1 species